CAGAAGGCAGGACUCAGGACAAUCUUCAUCAUGAUCUGCUCCCCUCUCCUCCUCGCCCUUCUCAUUCACUGCACAGGGUCCUGGGCCCAGUCUGCGCUGACGCAGCCGCCCUCAGUGUCUGCGGCCCCAGGACAGAAGGUCACCAUCUCUUGCUCCGGAAGCAGAUCCGAUAUCGGGAAUUAUGCAGUAUCAUGGUACCAGCAGCUCCCAGGAACAGCCCCCAAACUCCUCAUCUAUGAAAAUAAUAAGCGACCCUCAGGGAUUUCUGACCGAUUCUCUGGCUCCAAGUCUGGCACGUCAGCCUCCCUGGGCGUCACUGGACUCCAGACUGGGGAUGAGGCCAAUUAUUACUGCUUAGCCUGGGAUAGCAGCCUGAGUGCUUGCACAGUGCUCCAGGCCGAUGGGGAACUGAGACAAGAACCCUCUUCCUCCUCCGCCAGGAGGGUGAGCGCCGGCAGCUGCUGCUCAUGCCUGACCUGUAGCUUCUGCUGCUGCAGCUUCCCCCAUGGGCCUCGGGGCAGCCAGGCCCCUGCCUAG